AGCUUUACGCAGCAGCAAUAUUGUAGCCAAUGAGGUUUAUCUGAGGAGCAAUUAUUGCUAAAUGAAAUCAAAUCUUGAAGAAGUAUUUGUGCAAUUUUUCAUUUCAUAUUCUUGG
rnacentral:snRNA from 1 species